GACGAACGCUGGCGGCGUGCUUAACACAUGCAAGUCGAACGCUGAAGACCUGGCUUUUGUUGGGUUGGAUGAGUGGCGAACGGGUGAGUAACACGUGAGUAACCUGCCCUCUUCUUUGGGAUAACGCCCGGAAACGGGUGCUAAUACUGGAUAUUCACUGGCCUUCGCAUGGGGGUUGGUGGAAAGGUUUGUUCUGGUGGGGGAUGGGCUCGCGGCCUAUCAGCUUGUUGGUGGGGUGAUGGCCUACCAAGGCUUUGGCGGGUAGCCGGCCUGAGAGGGUGACCGGUCACAUUGGGACUGAGAUACGGCCCAGACUCCUACGGGAGGCAGCAGUGGGGAAUAUUGCACAAUGGGCGAAAGCCUGAUGCAGCGACGCCGCGUGAGGGAUGGAGGCCUUCGGGUUGUAAACCUCUUUCGCUCAUGGUCAAGCCGCAACUGUGGGUUGUGGUGAGGGUAGUGGGUAAAGAAGCGCCGGCUAACUACGUG
rnacentral:rRNA from 1 species